CAGCAGUGGGGAAUUUUGCGCAAUGGGGGGAACCCUGACGCAGCAACGCCGCGUGCGGGACGAAGGCCUUCGGGUUGUAAACCGCUUUCAGCAGGGAAGACAUAGACGGUACCUGCAGAAGAAGCUCCGGCUAACUACGUGCCAGCAGCCGCGGUAAUACGUAGGGGGCGAGCGUUAUCCGGAUUCAUUGGGCGUAAAGCGCGCGUAGGCGGCCGCCUAAGCGGAACCUCUAAUCCCGGGGCUCAACCUCGGGCCGGGUUCCGGACUGGGCGGCUCGAGUGCGGUAGAGGCAGGCGGAAUUCCCGGUGUAGCGGUGGAAUGCGCAGAUAUCGGGAAGAACACCGAUGGCGAAGGCAGCCUGCUGGGCCGCCACUGACGCUGAGGCGCGAAAGCUGGGGGAGCGAACAGGAUUAGA
rnacentral:rRNA from 1 species